AACCGGACCCUUUCAAGUAAAGAUUUUUUAUAUGAACCUGUGAGGAUGACACUGCCAUUGUCACAUAUAAAAUUCCAUAAGCCUACGUUCUCGUAUUAGUUUACAAAUUGUGAAAAACCAAAUUAAAUUUGAAUUUCGCGGGCAGGCCCGUCUCGUGCCCCUUAAUAUCUGAGCUUCGCCCAAAAUAAUGUAU